rnacentral:ncRNA from 252 species
UUUCCGUAGGUGAACCUGCGGAAGGAUCAU